GAUGAAGAACGUAGCGAAAUGCGACAAGUAAUGUGAAUUGCAGAAUUCCGUGAAUCAUCGAAUCUUUGAACGCACAUUGCGCCCUCUGGUAUUCUGGCGGGCAUGCCUGUUCGAGCGUCAUUUCAACCCUCAAGCCCCCGGGCUUGGUGUUGGGGAUCGGCGUGCCCUCGCGGCGCGCCGUCCCCUAAAUCUAGUGGCGGUCUCGCUGUAGCUUCCUCUGCGUAGUAGCAACACUCGCACUGGAUCGCAGCGCGGCCACGCCGUUAAACCCCCCACUUCUGAAAGUUUGACCUCGGAUCAGGUAGGAAUACCCGCUGAACUUAAGCAUAUCAAUAAGCGGAGGA
rnacentral:misc_RNA from 1 species